CUACCACUCAGGCUCCUGGCUGGAAUCCAGCUCUCAGCUGAUUCCAGGCUCUAGCCAUGGAUUAACUAUAAG
rfam:Rattus norvegicus chromosome 1, whole genome shotgun sequence.